AGCAGCCGCGGUAAUUCCAGCUCCAAUAGCGUAUAUUAAAGUUGCUGCAGUUAAAAAGCUCGUAGUUGAAUUUCGGGACUAAUAUGUUGGUCGUGCCUCGGUACGUACUGAUAUUUUUGGUUUCUCCCUUCUGACGAACCUUGAUGUCAUUAAUUUGGUGUCUUGGGAAAUCAGGACUGUUACUUUGAAAAAAUUAGAGUGUUUAAAGCAGGCUCACGCUUGAAUACAUUAGCAUGGAAUAAUGAAAUAGGACGUUUGAUUCUAUUUUGUUGGUUUCUAGGAUCGACGUAAUGAUUAAUAGGGAUAGUUGGGGGCAUUAGUAUCCAAUUGUCAGAGGUGAAAUUCUUGGAUUUAUUGAAGACUAACUACUGCGAAAGCAUUUGCCAAGGAUGUUUUCAUUAAUCAAGAACGAAAGUUAGGGGAUCGAAGACGAUCAGAUACCGUCGUAGUCUUAACCAUAAACUAUGCCGACUAGGGAUCGGAUGAUGUUAAUUUUUAAUGACUCAUUCGGCGCCUUACG
rnacentral:rRNA from 1 species